AACCAAACUGUGUGACCUUGCGCAAGUC
rnacentral:piRNA from 1 species